GUGAGGAAUAUUGGUCAAUGGACGAGAGUCUGAACCAGCCAAGUCGCGUGAAGGAAGACGGUUCUAUGAAUUGUAAACUUCUUAUGUGCAGGAAUAAAGUGGGUUACGUGUAACCUUUUGUAUGUACUGUACGAAUAAGGAUCGGCUAACUCCGUGCCAGCAGCCGCGGUAAUACGGAGGAUCCGAGCGUUAUCCGGAUUUAUUGGGUUUAAAGGGUGCGUAGGUGGAUUGAUAAGUCAGCGGUGAAAGUUUGCAGCUUAACUGUAAAAUUGCCGUUGAAACUGUCGGUCUUGAGUGCAAAUGAGGUAGGCGGAAUGUGUUGUGUAGCGGUGAAAUGCUUAGAUAUAACACAGAACUCCGAUUGCGAAGGCAGCUUACUGGGAUGCAACUGACACUGAUGCACGAAAGCGUGGGUAUCAAACAGGAUUAGAUACCCCGGUAGUCC
rnacentral:rRNA from 1 species